rnacentral:rRNA from 1 species
UACGGAGGGUGCAAGCGUUGUUCGGAUUUAUUGGGCGUAAAGCGCGUGUAGGCGGUUUCUUAAGCCUGAUGUGAAAGCCCUGGGCUCAACCCAGGAAGUGCAUUGGAUACUGGGAGACUUGAAUACGGGAGAGGGUAGUGGAAUUCCUAGUUUAGGAGUGAAAUCCGUAGAUAUUAGGAGGAACACCGGUGGCGAAGGCGGGUCUCUGGGCCGAUAUUGACGCUGAGGAGCGAAAGCGUGGGGAGCGAACAGG